rnacentral:rRNA from 1 species
ACGGGUGAGUAACACGUGGGUAACCUGCCCAGAAGUAGGGGAUAACACCUGGAAACAGAUGCUAAUACCGUAUAACAGAGAAAACCGCAUGGUUUUCCUUUAAAAGAUGGCUCUGCUAUCACUUCUGGAUGGACCCGCGGCGUAUUAGCUAGUUGGUGAGGUAAAGGCUCACCAAGGCAGUGAUACGUAGCCGACCUGAGAGGGUAAUCGGCCACAUUGGGACUGAGACACGGCCCAGACUCCUACGGGAGGCAGCAGUAGGGAAUCUUCCACAAUGGACGCAAGUCUGAUGGAGCAACGCACUCGUGAGUGAAGAAGGGUUUCGGCUCGUAAAGCUCUGUUGUUAAAGAAGAACGUGGGUAGAGUAACUGUUUACCCGGUGACGGUUAUUUACCAGAAAGCCACGGCUCACUACCUGCCAGCAGCCGCGGUAAUACGUAGGUGGCAAGCGUUAUCCGGAUUUAUUGGGCGUAAAGCGAGCGCAGGCGGUCUUUUAAGUCUAAUGUGAAAGCCUUCGGCUCAACCGAAGAAGUGCAUUGGAAACUGGGAGACUUGAGUGCAGAAGAGGACAGUGGAACUCCAUGUGUAGCGGUGAAAUGCGUAGAUAUAUGGAAGAACACCAGUGGCGAAGGCGGCUGUUCGGUCUGCAACUGACGCUGAGGCUCGAAAGCAUGGGUAGCGAACAGGUUAGAUACCCUGGUAGUCCAUGCCGUAAA